rnacentral:tRNA from 1 species
GGCUGCCUAGCGCAAUGGUCAACGCGUCUGCCUACGAAGCAGAAGAUUCCAGGUUCGAGUCCUGGGGUGGUCG